rnacentral:SRP_RNA from 1 species
GCCGGGUGUUGGUGGCGCACGCCUUUAAUCCCAGCACUCGGGAGGCAGAGGCAGGCGGAUCUCUGUGAGUUCGAGACCAGUCUGGUCUAUAAGAGCUAGUUCCAGGACAGCCUCCAAAGUCACAGAGAAACCCUGUCUUGAAAAACCAAAAAAAAAAAAAAAAGACUCUCAUCAUCUGCCAGGUGAUGGUGACACACUUUUUUUUUUUUUGGUUUUUCAAGACAGGGUUUCUCUGUGGCUUUGGAGGCUGUCCUGGAACUAGCUUGGUAGUCCAGGUUGGUCUCGAACUCACAGAGAUCCGCCUGCCUCUG